rnacentral:lncRNA from 1 species
CUUACAGGAGAUGGUGACCUACGAUGAGGGGAUGGUGACUUACGACGAAAGGAUGGCAACCUACGACGAGGGGGGGAAGGUGAUCGUCGUCGCAUAGGAGACAGUGAUCGUCGUGGGAUAGGAGACGGUGAUCUACGUCUCACAGGUGGUGAUCUGCGUCGCACAGGUGGUGAUCUGCGUCGCACAGGUGAACGGGACCUGUAUUGCACUGGUGAUCUUCGUAUUGGUGUCCUUGACCUACGCCACACGGGAGAUCUUGAUCUACG